AAUCUGGCCCUCGGGUCCGAGUUGUAAUUUGUAGAGGAUGCUUUUGGCGCGGUGCCUUCCGAGUUCCCUGGAACGGGACGCCUUAGAGGGUGAGAGCCCCGUACGGUUGGACACCAAGCCUCUGUAAAGCUCCUUCGACGAGUCGAGUAGUUUGGGAAUGCUGCUCUAAAUGGGAGGUAAAUUUCUUCUAAAGCUAAAUAUUGGCCAGAGACCGAUAGCGCACAAGUAGAGUGAUCGAAAGAUGAAAAGCACUUUGAAAAGAGGGUUAAACAGCACGUGAAAUUGUUGAAAGGGAAGCGUUUGCGACCAGACCUCUCCCCGGCGGAUCAUCCGGCGUUCUCGCCGGUGCACUCCGCCGGGCUGAGGCCAGCAUCGGUUUCCGCGGGGGGACAAAAGCGGGGGGAACGUAGCUCCCUCGGGAGUGUUAUAGCCCUCCGCAUAAUACCCUCGCGGGGACCGAGGACCGCGCUUCGGCAAGGAUGCUGGCGUAAUGGUCGUCAACGACCCGUCUUGAAACACGGACCAAGGAGUCGAACAUUUGUGCGAGUGUUUGGGUGUCAAACCCUCACGCGUAAUGAAGGUGAACGUAGGUGAGAGCCCUCACGGGCGCAUCAUCGACCGAUCCUGAUGUCUUCGGAUGGAUUUGAGUAAGAGCAUAACUGUUCGGACCCGAAAGAUGGUGAACUAUGCGUGGAUAGAGCGGUUCUGACGUGCAAAUCGAUCGUCAAAUCUGCGCAUGGGGGCGAAAG
rnacentral:rRNA from 1 species